rnacentral:rRNA from 1 species
AUGGAUGCUAGCCGUAUUCGGUAUCGACCCCGGAUGUGGCGAAGCUAACGCGUUAAGCAUCCCGCCUGUGGAGUACGGUCGCAAGACUAAAACAUAAAGGAAUUGACGGGGACCCGCACAAGCGGUGGAGCGUGUUGUUUAAUUCGAUGGUAAGCGAAGAACCUUACCCAGGCUUGACAUCCUUGUAAUCACUUCGAAAGAAGAGAGUGCCUUCGGGAUCAAGUGACAGGUGAUGCAUGGCCGUCGUCAGCUCGUGUCGUGAGAUGUUUGGUUAAGUCCAUCAACGAGCGCAACCCUUAUAGUUAGUUGAAUUUUUCUAGCUAGACUGCCCUGGUAACAGGGAGGAAGGAGGGGAUGAUGUCAGGUCAGUAUCUCCCUUACGUCUGGGGCUACAAACACGCUACAAUGGCCAGUACAAAGGGCAGCCAAGUCGCGAGACGGAGCAAAUCCCAUCAAAGCUGGUCUCAGUUCGGAUAGCAGGCUGAAACUCGCCUGCUUGAAGUCGGAAUCGCUAGUAACGGUAGGUCAGCACACUACCGUGAAUACGUUCCCGGGUCUUGUACACACCGCCCGUCAAACCAUGAAAGUCGCCAAUAUCUGACGUCUGUGCUUUGCCACGGCCUAAGGUAGGGGAGAUG